rnacentral:pre_miRNA from 1 species
CAUAAAGUAGAAAGCACUACUAGGCCUCUCUCCAAGUGUAGUGUUUCCUACUUUAUGGA